AUUGUCUCUCAGCCUUUUGGCUAGGAUUGAGUGUAGUAUCUGUUCUUACCAGAAAUGAAAACUUCCAGGCCCUUGUCCCAGACCUGCUGAGUUAGAAUCUGCGUUUUGUUGAGAUCCUCUGGUGAUUCAUAUAUUCCCUUUCAUGUAUACUUGUGAAGCGGGGGUGAGGAACUUCUGGCCCAUGGGCCAUAUAAG